rnacentral:rRNA from 1 species
GAUGAACGCUAGCGGCAGGCCUAAUACAUGCAAGUCGAACGCUCAGUAGCAAUACUGGGAGUGGCGCACGGGUGCGUAACGCGUACACAAUCUACCUCUAAGCGGGGGACACCUCCUGGAAACGGAGAUUAAUACCGCAUAAUAUGCCGAAGUCGCAUGACUUUGGUAUUAAAGCAGCAAUGCACUUAGAGAUGAGUGUGCGUCCCAUUAGGUAGUUGGUGAGGUAACGGCUCACCAAGCCUAUGAUGGGUAGCCGGUCUGAGAGGAUGGUCGGCCACACGGGCACUGAGACACGGGCCCGACUCCUACGGGAGGCAGCAGUAAGGAAUAUUGGUCAAUGGUGGAAACACUGAACCAGCCAUGCCGCGUGGAGGAAUAAGGUCCUACGGAUUGUAAACUCCUUUUGACGAGGAAGAAAAUGUUAGAUUAUCUAAUUUGUACGGUACUACGUAGAAUAAGCAACCGGCUAAACUCCGUGCCAGCAGCCGCGGUAAU